CAGCGGACUGGUCCGGCUGCUCAGCUAGGCAGCCAGCGUCCGUGCCCGCAACGCGGUUGCCUUCCCCUGGGCUGGAGAGUGGGGACGUCCCUCCCCCGCCCCCAGGCGUCCCUAGGGUCGGCGCCAGAGCCCUGGAGCCCCGGAGACUUUCUCUGGAGGAAGGCGAGGCGGGCUCUGGGUCCUCUCCCAGCCAGGCCGAGCUUAGCAUGUGGAGGUGGCGCGGGAGCGCGGGCAUGGACCAAGGGAAGGGGGACCCCCAAACCGCACUGGUGCUUUCCUUUCCCUCCACUCGCGCCGUAGCCCUCCCCAAAUUGCCCGUCUCCGGUAGGACUGACUCUGCCUGCCUGGCCUCUCAGCUACCAACUUUGCCCGAAAUCUAGAUCCCAGACCUGACCGACAUCAAGCAAGCAAACAUUUCUUCAACUCACAAGAGACAUCAGUUCAGGUCACAGAUACUUUUGCCAGAAAUAAUGGAGCAGUCUCUCCCUAACCUCCCACAUUGCACAGCUGCUGAUGAGCCUUGUAAUUAAUGAAAAUUUGCCAACAGUUGCACACUCAUUGACGUUCUGAGCUUAUUGAAAAAAGCAGCCUCACUUUUAUUGUUUCAAUGCUGAAAGCUUGACCUAGAAGGAUGGUUGAAAUCUCAGAUGCCUGUAGGAGCCAAAGAAGGAAAACAAGCAAAGCUUCUCAGUAUUAGAAAUCACUAAUACUGAGGGAGAGGCAGAAAAGAUGCUCAUGAAGGUGCUGAUCAAGAGAAGACAAGAUUCAUUUCUGUUUGUUCAGUAGAAUGUGUCAUCUCAUUUGGUUAUGCAUGUUUUCAGUCAUUAAUAUUUGGCAAUCAAAAUCACAAGCUUUCUGGAAAUCUAGUCAAUUUAAAAUUUUAGUAGCUGUAAAGAAUAGAACUGGUGCAUAUAGGCAUAUGAGACUAACACCCAUAUAUAUUUCUUUGUGCAUUCAUUACUUAUUCACCUAAUACAAAAGUCAUGGGCACCAAGUGAGCAUGCCAGGAAGAAUUCUUAGCACUGAGGGCACAGAUAGGAAGCAUGGAAAAUUCCUGCCUUCCUGAUGAUUACAUUUUAACUGGGGAGGCAGAAAAAAGAAAGAAAGAAGGAAAAACGAAAGAAAGAAAGAAAGAAGGAAGGAAAGAAAGAAAGAAAGAAAGAAAGAAAGAAAGAAUGAAAGAAAGAAAGAAAGAGAAAGGAAAGAACGAAUUUCAGUGAAUGUUAAAUUCUAUGAAGAACAUAAUGUGAGCUAGUUAGAGUAUGGAGGAAAGUUGCAACUGGAUUAUUUAGACAGAAAGGCUUCUCUGAGAAAGUUUUCAUGUGCAUGUAUCAAUAAUGUAUAUGCUACCUGCAUUUAUGUAAGCAUUUAUUUCUUAAUAUGCAUUUGUGUUUGCAAUGCCUUGCAUGAUGUUUAGCAUAAAAUGAAAGAAAAAUGCUCUUUGUCAUUGGAGAUGGAAGGCAUCUAGCGUCUUGAAAAGUCUAUGCACAGAUGUAGGGGCCUAUAUGUAAAGGCUGUUGAUAUUAUUGUUUUCCCAAAUAUAACAUAGACAACACAACAGCCUGAUAUUAUAAAAUGAUUUAUUACAAAGGUUCGGAUAUAAAUCCCUCCAGAGUCCUUUCUAAACAUUUUCUUCAAAAAUUGUUACUUCUUCUGUAAUAAUAAUUUAUACAUAUUUUUGUUAUAAUGCAUCCCACAUCACAUUGGCAUCAGUUAUACACAAGUAUGUAUUUAUUUCUAGAUUUUGCUCCUUGACAGUGUUUUUCCUUUAACGUCUUUUUAUUUCCAAGCGAAUCAGAUUUGUUUUGAGAGAAGUGUGUGAUAGUGAGGAUUUUCCUAUAUUUCAGUUACUAUGUUCUGACCUGAUUACAUGGGAAAUUUUCACUUACACGUUGAUGUUCUAAGAGAAAAAUACUGUCUUUAAGUGGCAGAGCUGAAUUCCAAAGUCCAGCAAAUCAGCUAGCUGACUUGUGCUUAUUGCUCAUAGAAAACAUUGUAGCUAAAUUGAUUAGCAAUGACAACACUACUGCUGCUGUUGGAAAUAUCUACCAUUUUUCCAGCUUUCUCCAGUCUUAGCUAUUGGCCACUACUCACAUCGUUCUAUCAAAUCCUGACAACCGCCCUAUCAGGUAGAUGUUUAUUGACCCACUUCAUAAAUGUGUAAUUGAAACUCAGAAUAAAAAACUGCCUGGUCACUAACCUUGUCAUAGAUUGUCAUAAUAUUAUGUGUGCUAAGUUAUAUCCAGUUUAUUACAUAUAAUAAAAAUAAAAUUUCAAAU